rnacentral:rRNA from 1 species
GAACGCUAGCUACAGGCUUAACACAUGCAAGUCGAGGGGCAGCAUGGUCUUAGCUUGCUAAGACUGAUGGCGACCGGCGCACGGGUGAGUAACACGUAUCCAACCUGCCGUCUACUCUUGGACAGCCUUCUGAAAGGAAGAUUAAUACAAGAUGGCAUCAUGAGUCCGCAUGUUCACAUGAUUAAAGGUAUUCCGGUAGACGAUGGGGAUGCGUUCCAUUAGAUAGUAGGCGGGGUAACGGCCCACCUAGUCUUCGAUGGAUAGGGGUUCUGAGAGGAAGGUCCCCCACAUUGGAACUGAGACACGGUCCAAACUCCUACGGGAGGCAGCAGUGAGGAAUAUUGGUCAAUGGGCGAGAGCCUGAACCAGCCAAGUAGCGUGAAGGAUGACUGCCCUAUGGGUUGUAAACUUCUUUUAUAAAGGAAUAAAGUCGGGUAUGCAUACCCGUUUGCAUGUACUUUAUGAAUAAGGAUCGGCUAACUCCGUGCCAGCAGCCGCGGUAAUACGGAGGAUCCGAGCGUUAUCCGGAUUUAUUGGGUUUAAAGGGAGCGUAGAUGGAUGUUUAAGUCAGUUGUGAAAGUUUGCGGCUCAACCGUAAAAUUGCAGUUGAUACUGGAUAUCUUGAGUGCAGUUGAGGCAGGCGGAAUUCGUGGUGUAGCGGUGAAAUGCUUAGAUAUCACGAAGAACUCCGAUUGCGAAGGCAGCCUGCUAAGCUGCAACUGACAUUGAGGCUCGAAAGUGUGGGUAUCAAACAGGAUUAGAUACCCUGGUAGUCCACACGGUAAACGAUGAAUACUCGCUGUUUGCGAUAUACGGCAAGCGGCCAAGCGAAAGCGUUAAGUAUUCCACCUGGGGAGUACGCCGGCAACGGUGAAACUCAAA